CAGAUUUUUAAUCAUUUAAUG
rnacentral:piRNA from 1 species